rnacentral:rRNA from 1 species
AGCUCGUAGUAGAAGCUCGGGCUCCGGCCGACUGGUCCGCCUCACCGCGUGCACUGGUUCGGCCGGGCCUUCACCUUCUGCGGAACCGCAUCUCCUUCACUGGGGGUGUCGGGGAAACAGGACGUUUACUGUGAAUAAAUUAGAGUGCUCCAGGCAGGCCUAUGCUCGAAUAGAUUAGCAUGGAAUAAUGGAAUAGGACGUGUGGUCUUAUUUCGUUGGUUUCUAGGACCGCCGUAAUGACUAAUAGGGAUAGUCGGGGGCAUCAGUAUUCAAUUGUCAGAGGUGAAAUUCUUGGAUUAAUUGAAGACUAACUACUGCGAAAGCAUUUGCCAAGGAUGUUUUCAUUAAUCAGUGAACGAAAGUUAGGGGAUCGAAGACGAUCAGAUACCGUCGUAGUCUCAACCAUAAACUAUGCCGACUAGGGAUCGGACGGGCUUCUUUUUUGACCCGUUCGGCACCU